UCCCUUAGUAGCGGCGGACGGGUGAGUAACACGUGGGUAACCUGCCUGUAAGACUGGGAUAACUCCGGGAAACCGGGGCUAAUACCGGAUGCUUGAUUGAACCGCAUGGUUCAAUUAUAAAAGGUGGCUUUCAGCUACCACUUGCAGAUGGACCCGCGGCGCAUUAGCUAGUUGGUGAGGUAACGGCUCACCAAGGCGACGAUGCGUAGCCGACCUGAGAGGGUGAUCGGCCACACUGGGACUGAGACACGGCCCAGACUCCUACGGGAGGCAGCAGUGGUCAUAG
rnacentral:rRNA from 1 species